rnacentral:rRNA from 1 species
AUUGAACGCUGGCGGCAGGCCUAACACAUGCAAGUCGAGCGGAUGAGGGAAGCUUGCCUCCCGAUUUAGCGGCGGACGGGUGAGUAAUGCCUAGGAAUCUGCCUAUUAGUGGGGAUAACGUUCCGAAAGGAACGCUAAUACCGCAUACGUCCUACGGGAGAAAGUGGGGGAUCUUCGGACCUCACGCUAAUAGAUGAGCCUAGGUCGGAUUAGCUAGUUGGUGAGGUAACGGCUCACCAAGGCGACGAUCCGUAGCUGGUCUGAGAGGAUGAUCAGCCACACUGGAACGGAGACACGGUCCAGACUCCUACGGGAGGCAGCAGUGGGGAAUAUUGGACAAUGGGCGAAAGCCUGAUCCAGCCAUGCCGCGUGUGUGAAGAAGGUCUUCGGAUUGUAAAGCACUCUAAGUUGGGAGGAAGAGUUGUAAGCUAAUAUCUUGCAGCUUUGACGUCACCAACAGAAUAAGCACCGGCUAACUCUGUGCCAGCAGCCGCAGUAAAAC